ensembl:lncRNA
CAGCCUCUGGCUCCAAAUUUGCAAGAUGGCAGCCUCCACAAGCGGGAUAUUUUGGCUUCAUUUUUGCACAAUGGGAGGAGGCGGAGUCGCGUCGUCCAUGUUUUCUACUGUCAAUGGUGUGAACGAAGUCUGGCUCCUUUAAUCCUGCAUGACAAACCUCAGGAUGCAGAACAGUUCUCCACAGUCGCUGUCUACAUGGGUCAGUGGGACCAAGAAGCACUCUGCUAAUGUGGGACUCUGACCAGCAACAUCCAGCAAGACCCAGGUAGCGUUUUCUAUCUCCCAGCUGGAGUUUUUUGUUUGUGACGGGAGAGUCAGAUUUUUGUUGAGGCUGGAGGAACAGCCUCACACUUGCAGAGGUUAAUACACGCUACUGAUCCCUGAUGGGAGAAUCAUCACCUCUGCCAACAAAGAAGCCUGGUGGAUGUUUGUUUACAGUCUGAUGAUGGGACACCAUGCUCUGCAUCUUCAAAGUUUGUCUCUUGCUUAUUAUUCAUACACAGUAAUGUGAAGUAUGCUUAUAUCUAGUAUAACUGGACCGACCUGGUGCUCUUCAUUUAUGGAGGCUGUUGAGUCUGAAUGUUGGAUGUUGUGUAUCUCGUGUUCUCUGGGCUUUGUUGUCCUCAGUCUUUUUGCAGGCUCAGAAAACAAAACCAGGAGACCUGUAAAUGUUUCUUCUCCAAUUGGAUGAUGAUAAGACUGUGACAUGGGAUGCCACCUUUAGUCUUGUGAUGAAGCAAAGCUCAGGAAGAAGUGUGAUUAAAUGGUACCCACAUGUGUGCUGCUGAGAAGGAUGUACAGGGGCACCUGCAGCCAAAUCCAAGCCUCAGCAACUUCAAGUCUGUCAGCGUGCUGAGGUCACAGAAACAAGAAAAGCAGCUUCAGACUUCAGAGUGUUGUUUACAGUUUUCUGUCAUCAUGAGCUCCCCUGAAGUUUAUCACUAUUAGGCAAGCAGUAAGUCCAC